GACGAACGCUGGCGGCGUGCUUAACACAUGCAAGUCGAACGGAAAGGCUCUGCUUUUGUGGGGUGCUCGAGUGGCGAACGGGUGAGUAACACGUGAGUAACCUGCCCUUGACUUUGGGAUAACUUCAGGAAACUGGGGCUAAUACCGGAUAGGAGCUCCUGCUGCAUGGUGGGGGUUGGAAAGUUUCGGCGGUUGGGGAUGGACUCGCGGCUUAUCAGCUUGUUGGUGGGGUAGUGGCUUACCAAGGCUUUGACGGGUAGCCGGCCUGAGAGGGUGACCGGCCACAUUGGGACUGAGAUACGGCCCAGACUCCUACGGGAGGCAGCAGUGAGGAAUAUUGCACAAUGGGCGGAAGCCUGAUGCAGCAACGCCGCGUGCGGGAUGACGGCCUUCGGGUUGUAAACCGCUUUCGCCUGUGACGAAGCGUGAGUGACGGUAAUGGGUAAAGAAGCACCGGCUAACUACGUG
rnacentral:rRNA from 1 species